GACGAACGCUGGCGGCGUGCCUAAUACAUGCAAGUUGAGCGCUGAAGGUUGGUACUUGUACCAACUGGAUGAGCAGCGAACGGGUGAGUAACGCGUGGGGAAUCUGCCUUUGAGCGGGGGACAACAUUUGGAAACGAAUGCUAAUACCGCAUAAAAACUUUAAACAAAAGUUUUAAGUUUGAAAGAUGCAAUUGCAUCACUCAAAGAUGAUCCCGCGCUGUAUUAGCUAGUUGGUGAGGUAAAGGCUCACCAAGGCGAUGAUACAUAGCCGACCUGAGAGGGUGAUCGGCCACAUUGGGACUGAGACACGGCCCAAACUCCUACGGGAGGCAGCAGUAGGGAAUCUUCGGCAAUGGACGAAAGUCUGACCGAGCAACGCCGCGUGAGUGAAGAAGGGUUUCGGAUCGUAAAACUCUGUUGGUAGAGAAGAACGUUGGUGAGAGUGGAAAGCUCAUCAAGUGACGGUAACUACCCAGAAAGGGACGGCUAACUACGUG
rnacentral:rRNA from 1 species